GGUUAAUUGAAGAUGUGCAAGCAUCGGAUCGAAGCCCCAGUAAACGGCGGCCGUAACAAUAACGGUCCUAAGGUAGCGAAAUUCCUUGUCGGGUAAGUUCCGACCUGCACGAAUGGCGUAAUGAUGGCCAGGCUGUCUCCACCCGAGACUCAGUGAAAUUGAACUCGCUGUGAAGAUGCAGUGUACCCGCGGCAAGACGGAAAGACCCCGUGAACCUUUACUAUAGCUUUGCACUGGACUUUGAAUUUGCUUGUGUAGGAUAGGUGGGAGGCUUUGAAGUGUGGACGCCAGUCUGCAUGGAGCCAACCUUGAAAUACCACCCUGGCAACUUUGAGGUUCUAACUCAGGUCCGUUAUCCGGAUCGAGGACAGUGUAUGGUGGGUAGUUUGACUGGGGCGGUCUCCUCC
rnacentral:rRNA from 1 species